UGAUGUCACAGCCUGCGUAUUGUGAGCUCCUUGGCGAUGGAGGCUGGGUCUGAUUCACUCCACAGGGUCCAAGGAAUCGUUCAAUAAAUCCUUGAAUGGACCAUUGUCCAUUCCUGCCAUCCAUCCUUCCAGCCAUGCAAUCAUCCACUCGUCAAGUGGGUCUUUUAGGACUUGGUCUUAUGUAGGGAACUCCCCCUUCAAAGCAGCCUGCUAGAACACGGGACCCUCUGGUCGGCGCAUUAUCUCUGAGAGCCUCCCUUGGAGCUGAAACAACGUACCCCAGGUGUUCUGCCCUCUUCCUAACUCUGCCGCCUGCAAGAUCACUGCCAGAGCCCCUCAGGCUGCACCUGCCCCCAGGGCAACCCUGAAAAGAACUGGGGGCAAUGACUGGUUUCCACAAAGCUUUCCUGAAGGCGUUUUGCUGCAGAAAGACCGCUCUAGCAGCCGUGAGCAGGAAGCAUGUGCCCAGACCCCAGGACCUCAGGAAAACCAGGACACGCUGAUGGUCGCUCACCGCUUAUUCCUUCAACGGACAUCGACCAAGAAGAGACCGAAGAACAUCACCCUGGCUGUUGUAUACAGAACGCUUCAAAGAAGGAAGAGAUCCGAAGCAGGGAGACAAUUAGAAGCCUGCAAGAGCAAACCAGGCAAGAGAUGGCUUGGACCAGUGCAGUAGCAGUGCAGAUGAGAUUAUUACUAUGUGUGCUGUGCUGGCUGCUAAGGGCCGAGUGUGGGACUCAGAAGCAGUCCUUUCCUUCCAGGAAACACGGGUGCCCAGAAGAGGAGUGUUGUAAUUCCCACUGAGGACACUCAAGGGGAGCCAAUGGAACCACUCGGUGCUCCAAAGAGAGAGGGCUCUACCCCUGGGCAAGGUGCUGCCAGACUUCCUCCGUGAGUCGGCCUCCCCCACACCAUGCCCCCGGCUGGUGGACCCAGGACCACGCAGCAGGUCAGCCAUCUCCACAGCCAACAUUCAGAGGAGGGAUCAACCCUGUGGAAAAGGUGGGGACAUAGAGACCAGGGAGAUGCAAAAAAGCCAUGUGCCCCAAGUUGGUCUCAAAUGUCUCAUCUGCUCAAGAUUUGAACCUCAGGACUUUCUGAGUCUGCGUUUUGCCUUUCCAGAACCACAGACCUCCCUUCCCUCUCCCUCUCUGCACUUGUUCCGCUUCCUACCCUACCUACCCCCCAGGUGCUAUUCAGUGACAGUCUGCUCAGUCACAUGCCCACCUCCUCCACACAUCCUUAAGCUGGGACAGCCAAUUCUGUGAUAGCUGGAAUCAGGAUGCUAGCAAGAAUUACAGUCUGCCACCUGUUGGAAAGAAGCACAUGAGGGGGGUCUCCCCCUCUAGACUGAGACCAUUGGGGCAACCAAACCUAUAUUCUAUUCAUCUCCAUGCUCCUCUAUACUACCCAGCCACACAGCCUUGUUCCAAGUGCUGUGCCAAAGAGGAACACAAAGAAGAUGAUUCUACUCAAGGUCCUUUCUCCGGGCCCGUUUCUUCACAAGAUGGUGGGACUAAAUCAAAGGUUUAAAAAGGCCAGGGGAUAAGCUCUACACAACCUGCCUGUCCUGACUGCCUCUCUGACCUCACCUCCUAUAUUUUAGCAGCACUGGCCUUAUUUUCCCCUCAAGACGUCAGUCAGCUCUGCCACAGGACCUUUGCACCUGCUGUUUUUACUUCUGGGAAUGGUCUUCCCCCAGGCUUCCCCAGGGCUCUCUCCUCCACUCCCUCAGGUCAUCCAUUCCCUGACCAUGCUGUACAAACUGUGCCAUUCCCCUCCCUCAGAAUUCUGUCUCCCAAUUCUGCUCUAUUUUUCUCUGACACAUGUAUUGGCAUCUUACAUUUUCGAGCAAUCUUAGGCUGUUAGCUAGCUACCUCAGCAUUACCUAGGGAGCUGGUUUAAAAGAUUCCUGGCCCCCACCAUGCCAGCUAAAUCAGGAU
rnacentral:lncRNA from 1 species